rnacentral:rRNA from 1 species
AACGUAGGUUCCGAGCGUUAUCCGGAUUUACUGGGCGUAAAGCGUGUUCAGGCGGCUUCGCAAGUCGGGCAUGAAAUCUCUCGGCUCAACCGGGAGGGGCUGUCCGAUACUGCGGGGCUUGAGGGCAGUAGAGGGUGGUGGAAUUCCGGGUGUAGUGGUGAAAUGCGUAGAGAUCCGGAGGAACACCAGUGGCGAAAGCGGCCACCUGGACUGUACCUGACGCUCAAACACGAAAGCUAGGGGAGCGAACGGG